rnacentral:rRNA from 1 species
AUCAAGGCUGAGGCGUGAUGACGAGGCACUACGGUGCUGAAGCAACAAAUGCCCUGCUUCCAGGAAAAGCCUCUAAGCAUCAGGUAACAUCAAAUCGUACCCCAAACCGACACAGGUGGUCAGGUAGAGAAUACCAAGGCGCUUGAGAGAACUCGGGUGAAGGAACUAGGCAAAAUGGUGCCGUAACUUCGGGAGAAGGCACGCUGAUAUGUAGGUGAAGCGACUUGCUCGUGGAGCUGAAAUCAGUCGAAGAUACCAGCUGGCUGCAACUGUUUAUUAAAAACACAGCACUGUGCAAACACGAAAGUGGACGUAUACGGUGUGACGCCUGCCCGGUGCCGGAAGGUUAAUUGAUGGGGUUAGCGGUAACGCGAAGCUCUUGAUCGAAGCCCCGGUAAACGGCGGCCGUAACUAUAACGGUCCUAAGGUAGCGAAAUUCCUUGUCGGGUAAGUUCCGACCUGCACGAAUGGCGUAAUGAUGGCCAGGCUGUCUCCACCCGAGACUCAGUGAAAUUGAACUCGCUGUGAAGAUGCAGUGUACCCGCGGCAAGACGGAAAGACCCCGUGAACCUUUACUAUAGCUUGACACUGAACAUUGAGCCUUGAUGUGUAGGAUAGGUGGGAGGCUUUGAAGUGUGGACGCCAGUCUGCAUGGAGCCGACCUUGAAAUACCACCCUUUAAUGUUUGAUGUUCUAACGUUGGCCCGUUAUCCGGGUUGCGGACAGUGUCUGGUGGGUAGUUUGACUGGGGCGGUCUCCUCCUAAAGAGUAACGGAGGAGCACGAAGGUUGGCUAAUCCUGGUCGGACAUCAGGAGGUUAGUGCAAUGGCAUAAGCCAGCUUGACUGCGAGCGUGACGGCGCGAGCAGGUGCGAAAGCAGGUCAUAGUGAUCCGGUGGUUCUGAAUGGAAGGGCCAUCGCUCAACGGAUAAAAGGUACUCCGGGGAUAACAGGCUGAUACCGCCCAAGAGUUCAUAUCGACGGCGGUGUUUGGCACCUCGAUGUCGGCUCAUCACAUCCUGGGGCUGAAGUAGGUCCCAAGGGUAUGGCUGUUCGCCAUUUAAAGUGGUACGCGAGCUGGGUUUAGAACGUCGUGAGACAGUUCGGUCCCUAUCUGCCGUGGGCGCUGGAGAACUGAGGGGGGCUGCUCCUAGUACGAGAGGACCGGAGUGGACGCAUCACUGGUGUUCGGGUUGUCAUGCCAAUGGCACUGCCCGGUAGCUAAAUGCGGA